CACGACCUAGGUACAGUCGCGAAAAAAGGGCGGCCGACCCUGUUCCUCUUCCUCGCGGAGUCUCCUGAUAAAUUCGAGCAUUAAUCGAGUGAAAACUGAUCGAUGAAGCUCAUCCGCCGCUUCCGUUUCCUGUAACUUAAAAAGCAGGGCAUGGUGCGAUCCGCCUCCAGCCCUCCACACCAAUCACGCCCAUAGGCCUCACGUUGGUGCCUGACCACUCCCCAUCCUAAUUCCUCCUUCAAUCCCUAAAUCGCUCAAUAUAUUUUCCCAAUCUGUCUGGUUGAUCCCCAAUCUGGCAGGUUGAUCUCCGGUAGGAAAACCGCUCGACGUUCUACACCUCCACCUGAUUCAAUUGGAAUUUUUUUCUGCUGCUACCUCAGGCCCUCCGAAUUUCUUUGGAUUUCUUGGCUUCUCAGUCUGGUCGCUGAAUGCUCCUUUCGGUUCAUUGACUUCUCGGACUGCUGGCCAUCGCACGAACUACCUGCUGACCCUUCUUUCAUUGCGAUACUACAGAUGGCAUGAUGCUUAUCACUGUAUGUCAAAAUGACAAUCGUGAUGUUCUAUCUUCAACAGUAUUGGUUCUUUCCCUGAACCUAGAUUUAUGUUGGUGGUAGCCAUAAUUUUGUUCCAUCCAUUAAUCCUCUGUACCUUCCUAUCAAUUUGUUCCUGGGCUGAUUCUUCAUUGUAUUCAUUCAGGCCUUUAAUGUGAAUUUUGAACUAGCUAGGUGUUGUUAUUAUUCAAAUAUUAUUCUAUGCUGGUUUCCUCUUGAUAUAUAUAUGCUACUGACCAGCGAAUCAUGGCUGGGAAUCACUCUGACAUAUGUUUUACUUCUACCGGUGGAACUUCAAAUGCUUUUGUGAACACUACCGAUUGAAGCUGGCUAGAGUGCCUAACAGAUUUUUGACCAAAUGAGUGAAAAAUAUUUACUCUCUUUUGUCAUUUAGGUUAAUUCUCGCUCUCUAUACAAUAAUAUUAAUUCAACUGUAUCAAGCAAUGCUUUAAUCAGAUUAAUGAAAUGGUUUAUUUGUCUAAUUGUAACGCGGGUAGUAUUUUUUGCAAUAUUAUUAUUUUUGCAUUAUUUAUUUGCAACAUGCGGGUACUUAAGCAAUAUAAGAGAAAAUAAGGAUAGACAAGUAGCAGCCAUGAAGUUUUGAUAUCUGCUAAUCCUUUCUUACUGAUAUAUUUUAUUGAUAACCUUUCAUUUAUUUGUCUAACUGUAAUGGGGGUAGUAUUUUUUGCAAUAUUAUUAAUUUUGCAUUAUUUAUUUGCAACAUGUGGGUAUAGAGUUGAGCAAUAUAAGAGAAAAUAAGGAUAGACAAGUAGCAGCGAGGAAGUUUUAAUAUAUGCUAUUCCUUUCUUACUGAUAUAUUUUAUUGAUAACUUUUCAUUUAUUUUGACAUAUGAUACUUGGGUAAAAAUUCCUCUAAUAAUUGUUGUAUGAUACUCCAGUAACACUCCUCCAAUAUUCGUUGUACUGUAACCAAAUUUGUGACAGGACAAACAAUCUCAGUUUGUUGACAACUAAUUCAGUCACUUGGAGUCUUCAUGUAAUGUAUGUCACUCACAUAUGCAUGCUGCAGAUUGUACUUAAAUAUCUCAAGCACUUCAGGUUGAUAUUAGAACAACCAGAUGGAGCUGACACUUGGCCAUCAUGCUUAGGUUCUCUUCUGUUUAUUCUCAAUAUGUAUGGUCAUGUCUUAAACAAAUGUAGAAUGUAUAGAAGAUAUAUUCUCCAUAUCUUAAAUAGGCACUUUACUUAGUACAGGAUGGAUGUGUUUUACUUUCAGAUGGAGCUGACACUUGGCCAUCAUGUUUAGGUUAUCUUCUGUUUAUUCUCAAUAUGUAUGGUCAUGUCUUCAACAAAUGUAGGAUGUACAGAAGAUGGAUUCUACAUAUC